GUCGUCUGCUUAACAGUUAGUGUCGACAAGAUAAAUUUUCGUUGGUGUAUAAUUAAAAAAUUCGAAAUCGAAAUAUUGUAACGGAAUGAUUCAACGAUUAAACAUAAGAUAAAAGAUAAUUUUAUUUGACUUGUCUCCAUAAUUAGAAGUAUCAUUAAUGAAAAUGUUUAAAAAAGUAAAUGAGGGAGAAGGUAAAGGUUAGUUUUGUAAAAGGGAAAGUUGCAAUUAGUAAAAAAUAAGAGAGAGACAGAGAGUGAGAGUGAGAGGAAGGGAAAGAAUUUUAGGGGAAGGAAAAUGUGGAAGAGUAGAGGGGGGGACGAAGGUGCAUGAACAAUUUGAAAAUUUCAUCAGUUUCUUAUUGGUCUUUGGAAAGUAAACAAGUAUUAGGUGCAAUGAAGAAUUGCAAAGAAUAAAAACGCUAAAUAAGAAGAGAAGAAAA
rnacentral:lncRNA from 1 species